AUUGAACGCUGGCGGCAUGCCUAACACAUGCAAGUCGAACGGCAGCACGGGUGCUUGCACCUGGUGGCGAGUGGCGAACGGGUGAGUAAUACAUCGGAACAUUUCCUGUAGUGGGGGAUAGCCCGGCGAAAGCCGGAUUAAUACCGCAUACGAUCUACGGGUGAAAGCGGGGGACCUUCGGGCCUCGCGCUAUAGGGUUGGCCGAUGGCGGAUUAGCUAGUUGGUGGGGUAAAGGCCUACCAAGGCGACGAUCAGUAGCUGGUCUGAGAGGGCGACCAGCCACACUGGAACUGGGCCACGGCCCAGACUCCUACGGGAGGCAGCAGUGGGGAAUUUUGGACAAUGGGCGAAAGCCUGAUCCAGCAAUGCCGCGUGUGUGAAGAAGGCCUUCGGGUUGUAAAGCACUUUUGUUCGGAAAGAAAUGCUUUGCCCUAAUACGGUCGGGGGAUGACGGUACCGGAAGAAUAAGCACCGGCUAACUACGUG
rnacentral:rRNA from 1 species